UAGCGGCUAGUAUAGUUAAUACAUCUAAUUUCGACUUAGAAAACCCCGACCACAAAACGGGGCCGCCAA
rnacentral:tRNA from 1 species